ACGCUCGACACCUACGGGAGACAGUAGUGGGGAAUAUUGCACAAUGGGGGAAACCCUGAUGCAGCGACGCCGCGUGGAGGAAGAAGGUCUUCGGAUUGUAAACUCCUGUUGUUGGGGAAAAAGAGGAUGGUACCCAACAAGGAAGUGACGGCUAACUACGCGCCAGCAGCCGCGGUAAUCUGAGCGGGCUGGCAAGGC
rnacentral:rRNA from 1 species